CGUGAGAUGUUGGGUUAAGUCCCGUAACGAGCGCAACCCUUGUCCUUAGUUACCAGCACGUUAUGGUGGGCACUCUAAGGAGACUGCCGGUGACAAACCGGAGGAAGGUGGGGAUGACGUCAAGUCAUCAUGGCCCUUACGGCCUGGGCUACACACGUGCUACAAUGGUCGGUACAAAGGGUUGCCAAGCCGCGAGGUGGAGCUAAUCCCAUAAAACCGAUCGUAGUCCGGAUCGCAGUCUGCAACUCGACUGCGUGAAGUCGGAAUCGCUAGUAAUCGCGAAUCAGAAUGUCGCGGUGAAUACGUUCCCGGG
rnacentral:rRNA from 3 species